rnacentral:lncRNA from 1 species
AAACGGCCUUGGGCAGACGUGGCUUUGGUCCUCUGUGGUCAGAGGGACAUGAGGUCAGGUGCUUAGCAGCUGGUCAGAGGCUGCUGCAGCAGCAAUUUGCAGGGAAUGGAGUGGCACAACAGAACAGACUCCAAAGGCCCCUAAACCGGCCAUCAACAGGAACCAGGAACUCGUGGGUUUCUCUCUCUCAAUGUCCAGCAAGUCUUAUGACUCUCUUGUCAUGUGCACUUGCAAAUGGGCCCCCCUCUCCAUUUCCCCCUCCCCCUAAAAGGACUGUGCCAUGGAACAGGGGGUGCAGACAUCAGACAGAGAAAAAUAGAAUGGACCACUGCAGGACCAGGUGCUGGAAGAGAAAGAGGAAAGCAUUUCCUCUGUGCUCGGUGGACCAGCAUGCCGAUCUCUCAACAUGAGGAGAGAGGCCACCUGGAAGUAGAUGGAAGGAAGGGCCCGAGAGAGGGGCGAGAGGAAUGGAAGAAGAAAGGAAAAGAUUCCUGGAGGCUCAGUUGGCAAAGAAUCCGCCUGCAAGCCAGGAGACCUGGGUUUGAUCCCUGGGUCCAGAAGACUUCUUAGACAAGGAAAUGGUAACCCACUCCAGUAUUCUUGCCUGGGAAAUCCCAUGGGGAGAGGACAGAGGGCAGAAGAGCCUGGCAGGCUACAGUCCAUGGGUUCACAAGACUUGCA